rnacentral:rRNA from 1 species
UACGUAGGGGGCAAGCGUUGUCCGGAUUUACUGGGCGUAAAGAGCGCGUAGGCGGAAACGCCAGUCCGGCUUGAAAGCCCCCGGCUCAACCGGGGAGAGUGGCUGGAAACUGCGUUUCUUGAGGGGCUCAGAGGAGAGUGGAAUUCCGGGUGUAGUGGUGGAAUGCGUAGAUAUCCGGAGGAACACCAGUGGCGAAAGCGGCUCUCUGGGGGCAACCUGACGCUGAGGCGCGAAAGCGUGGGGAGCGAACCGG